rnacentral:rRNA from 1 species
AGGAUAAACGCUGGCGGCGUGCAUGAGACAUGCAAGUCGAACGGACGAUCGAGGCUUGCUUCGAUCGUUAGUGGCGGACGGCUGAGUAACGCGUAGGUGACCUGCCCCGAAGUGGGGAAUAACUGCCCGAAAGGGUGGCUAAUACCGCAUGUGGUGGUGCGUUCAAUCGCACCAGUAAAGCCGCAAGGCGCUUCGGGAGGGGCCUGCGUCCGAUUAGCUCGUUGGUGGGGUAACGGCUCACCAAGGCGACGAUCGGUAGGUGGUCUGAGAGGACGAUCACCCAGACUGGGACUGAGACACGGCCCAGACUCCUACGGGAGGCAGCAGUCGGGAAUUUUGCGCAAUGGACGAAAGUCUGACGCAGCAACGCCGCGUGAGGGAUGAAGGCCUUCGGGUUGUAAACCUCUUUUAUCAGGGAAGAUAAUGACGGUACCUGAUGAAUAAGUCACGGCUAACUACGUGCCAGCAGCCGC